AGUCCGGCACCUACUUCCCUGUGGCCUCAGAGGGCAGCGAGCCGGCCCUACUGCACAGCUGGGCCUCAGCUGAGAAGCCCUACCUGAAGGAAAAAUCCAGCGCCACCGUGUACUUCCAGACUGACAAGCACAACAACAUCAGAGACCUCGUCCGCCGCUGCAUCACCCGGACUAGCCAGGUCCUGGUCAUCCUGAUGGAUGUGUUCACGGAUGUGGAGAUCUUCUGUGACAUUCUAGAGGCAGCCAACAAGCGUGGGGUGUUCGUUUGUGUGCUCCUGGACCAGGGAGGUGUGAAGCUCUUCCAGGAGAUGUGUGACAAAAUCCAGAUCUCUGACAGUCACCUCAAGAACAUUUCCAUCCGGAGUGUGGAAGGAGAGGUGUACUGUGCCAAGUCAGGCAGGAAAUUCGCUGGCCAAAUCCGGGAGAAGUUCAUCAUCUCGGACUGGAGAUUCGUCCUGUCUGGAUCUUACAGGGUUUGUUAGAGGGAAAGUGCUGGAAAACAUGCCUUCCCCCAGCCCCCAACGCCUAACCCCUCUCAGCCCCGCUGCCCAGCCCACUCUGCAAGUAAAGAAGCCAGCAGAGAAGUCUGAAACCAUUUCCACACAAGACAGAUG
rnacentral:sRNA from 1 species